AACUUAAAGAAAUUGACGGAAAGGCACCACCAGGCGUGGAGCCUGCGGCUUAAUUUGACUCAACACGGGGAAACUCACCAGGUCCAGACACAAUAAGGAUUGACAGAUUGAGAGCUCUUUCUUGAUUUUGUGGGUGGUGGUGCAUGGCCGUU
rnacentral:rRNA from 1 species